rnacentral:rRNA from 1 species
CCUACGGGUGGCAGCAGUGAGGAAUAUUGGUCAAUGGGCGAGAGCCUGAACCAGCCAAGUCGCGUGAAGGAUGAAGGAUCUAUGGUUUGUAAACUUCUUUUAUAUGGGAAUAAAGUGAGGAACGUGUUCCUUUUUGUAUGUACCAUAUGAAUAAGCAUCGGCUAACUCCGUGCCAGCAGCCGCGGUAAUACGGAGGAUGCGAGCGUUAUCCGGAUUUAUUGGGUUUAAAGGGUGCGUAGGCGGAUUGUUAAGUCAGUGGUCAAAUUGAGGGGCUCAACCCCUUCCCGCCAUUGAAACUUGCGCUCUUGAGUGGAAGAGAAGUAUGCGGAAAUGCGUGGUGUAGCGGUGAAAUGCAUAGAUAUCACGAAGAACUCCGAUUGCGAAGGCAGCAUACCGGCGCCCAACUGACGCUGAAGCACGAAAGCGUGGGUAUCGAACAGGAUUAGAUACCCCUGUAGUC